rnacentral:misc_RNA from 1 species
GCUGAAGAACGUAGCGAAAUGCGAUAAGUAAUGUGAAUUGCAGAAUUCAGUGAAUCAUCGAAUCUUUGAACGCACCUUGCGCUCCUUGGUAUUCCGAGGAGCAUGCCUGUUUGAGUGUCAUUAAUAUAUCAACCUUCUCUUUUUUGAGUUGUUUGGAUGUGGGGGUUUGCUGGCCUCUUAAAUGAUUCAGCUCCCCUGAAAUGCAUUAGCAGAACAACCUGUUCAUUGGCGUGAUAAUUAUCUAUGCUAUUGAAUGUGAGGGCAGUUCAGCUUUCUAACCGUCCUUGGACAAUUCAUCAUUAAUGUGACCUCAAAUCAGGUAGGACUACCCGCUGAACUUAAGCAUAUCAAUAAGCGGAGGA